rnacentral:lncRNA from 1 species
AAAGGGUAUGAUAAAUGUUCACCUGCUAAACCGAUGCGACUGAAGAGACUGAGUAAACGGAACUCGACGAGCGUCUGCGAGGAGGUUUAACCUCGUUUGCUGUGCUUGUGGCAAAUUCAGAUUGAGGAACUUCGAUUAGCUGCAGAUAACCUUCAAGAACCUUGGUGUUGGCGAGCAGGUCGCUGCUCCCUUUCUGCUCUGGGAUAGUGAGGCAGAGAUUGGCAGGGACUGGGAACAGACAAAAGAGAGAAAGAGAAAGAACGAACGAACACUGUCUCUUUGCUGUGGCAGAGAGUGGUUCUGAGACUGCAACUGCUGGAUCACUCACAUCAUUUUCACAUCGAGGUCGAGUUUCCUGCUUCGAGAGAGACAUGAGAGGAAGGUCUGACUGCACGAAGACUCAUGAAAUAACUUCCUGGGGAUCACUGUAUGUUGUGUGCCAUUGCCUUAGAGGUGUACAUUGUGUUCCAGAUGAAAGUAUCACUUUGUGGAAAUAUCACCACUUCAAACUGCCCACAGAAGGUUCCUCCUGAUGACUCCAUCUUUCUCUUUUUGGAUUCCUCCUGAUACUUCAGUGCUGUACUUGGUCAGUUAUUUGAUUGGCCUUCAGGUGAGAAUCACAUUAGCCCAAUGUAUUCAUCUUGUGCAGUAUUGACAUCG